ensembl:lncRNA
AACAUGAGAGGAGAAAAUAAGAUACAAGACAAACAUCAAGGGCUUUCAGCAUGCAAUACAGCAAAAGCUCAAUGUUCAAAAAACAGAAGUUGCAAAAUGCAUUAGUAACCACCUCUACUAAGCACCACCCAAAACUGAAGACACUGAAGUGGAGAAAUAAGAUCCUUUUAUCAAAACCUAUUGACCACCACUGAUAUCAGGAGAUCUGCACAACAGAAAUCCGACUUCUGAUGUUGGCAUGGUUUGAGGAUCAGCUAUGGCAGCUGAAGCUUAAAGAUGCAGUAGUAACUGAUGCUUGGAGAGCAUGCCUACAAGUCAGCCCAGAGCCCUUUCACUUGGUUUGGAAGUUCAGCAGGAAAAAGCAAGCAGCUAGAAGUUGCCCUGGUCUUUCUCAAUGGCCAGAAGGAAUCACAAAGAGAGAAAAGGCUGUCACCAAGUCAGCCUUCAGCCUCAGAAUGGAUGCCAUACCUCAACAGCAAGACAUAUGACAUGUCAGAGGUGGCUGCUAGUCUUCUAUAAGAUGUCAGAGCAACAAGCUUUUUCUCCAAGUACAAAAUAUCUGUCAUGGGAGUCUAUAUGACACCAGAUACAAGACCUGCAGUUUCGCUUGCCAGAUCACCUCUGAGUUCCCCUAGACAGAAGUGAGAGUCCAGAUUCCCUCAGGAUUAGCUCAACCACACAUCCUACAGCAUAAGUCAUCAUCAAAACCCCAGGGUAGCAGAAGUGAGCUUGUCAGUUCGUGGCUGUUGGAAACACUCCUUCCCUCUCCCAGUCUCACAGGACAUAUAUUUUUUGCCAAAUGAUGCAAGGCAGUAGAUGCCUCAUGAGGAAAAAGAAUCUAAUAAUUCCAAAUUACAAGAAUCAAAGCAAUCUAAAUUCUCCAUCUGUUGCCUAGUGUGGUUG